GAUUAAGAGCUUGCUCUUAUGAAGUUAGCGGCGGACGGGUGAGUAACACGUGGGUAACCUGCCCAUAAGACUGGGAUAACUCCGGGAAACCGGGGCUAAUACCGGAUAACAUUUUGAACCGCAUGGUUCGAAAUUGAAAGGCGGCUUCGGCUGUCACUUAUGGAUGGACCCGCGUCGCAUUAGCUAGUUGGUGAGGUAACGGCUCACCAAGGCAACGAUGCGUAGCCGACCUGAGAGGGUGAUCGGCCACACUGGGACUGAGACACGGCCCAGACUCCUACGGGAGGCAGCAGUAGGGAAUCUUCCGCAAUGGACGAAAGUCUGACGGAGCAACGCCGCGUGAGUGAUGAAGGCUUUCGGGUCGUAAAACUCUGUUGUUAGGGAAGAACAAGUGCUAGUUGAAUAAGCUGGCACCUUGACGGUACCUAACCAGAAAGCCACGGCUAACUACGUGCCAGCAGCCGCGGUAAUACGUAGGUGGCAAGCGUUAUCCGGAAUUAUUGGGCGUAAAGCGCGCGCAGGUGGUUUCUUAAGUCUGAUGUGAAAGCCCACGGCUCAACCGUGGAGGGUCAUUGGAAACUGGGAGACUUGAGUGCAGAAGAGGAAAGUGGAAUUCCAUGUGUAGCGGUGAAAUG
rnacentral:rRNA from 1 species